rnacentral:siRNA from 1 species
AGACAUACAACUCGGUGAUGC